UAUAGCAUCAAAAUUCAUUGGCAC
rnacentral:siRNA from 1 species